AUGCUUACUUCAGCAGCACUUAUACUAAAAUUGGAACUACACAGAGAAGAUUAGCAUGACCCCUGUGCAAGGGUGACAUGCAAAUUUGCAAAACAUAUUUUUAUUAU